rnacentral:rRNA from 1 species
AUACGUAGGGGGCGAGCGUUGUCCGGAAUGAUUGGGCGUAAAGGGCGCGUAGGCGGCCCGGUAAGUCUGGAGUGAAAGUCCUGUUUUUAAGAUGGGAAUUGCUUUGGAUACUGUCGGGCUUGAGUGCAGGAGAGGUAGGUGGAAUUCCCAGUGUAGCGGUGAAAUGCGUAGAGAUUGGGAGGAACACCAGUGGCGAAGGCGACUUACUGGACUGUAACUGACGCUGAGGCGCGAAAUUGUGGGGAGCAAACAGGAUUAGAUACCCUGGUAGUCCACACUGUAAACGAUGAAUGCUAGGUGUAGGGGGUAUCGACCCCUUCUGUGCCGCAGUCAACACAAUAAGCAUUCCGCCUGGGGAGUACGGCCGCAAGGUUGAAACUCAAAGGAAUUGACGGGG